rnacentral:rRNA from 1 species
AGGACGAACGCUGGCGGCGUGCUUAACACAUGCAAGUCGAGCGAUGAAGCUCUUCGGAAGUGGAUUAGCGGCGGACGGGUGAGUAACACGUGGGUAACCUGCCUCGUAGAGGGGAAUAGCCUUCCGAAAGGAAGAUUAAUACCGCAUAAGAUUGUAAUAUCGCAUGAUGUAGCAAUUAAAGGAGUAAUCCGCUAUGAGAUGGACCCGCGUCGCAUUAGCUAGUUGGUGAGGUAACGGCUCACCAAGGCGACGAUGCGUAGCCGACCUGAGAGGGUGAUCGGCCACAUUGGGACUGAGACACGGCCCAGACUCCUACGGGAGGCAGCAGUGGGGAAUAUUGCACAAUGGGGGAAACCCUGAUGCCAGCAACGCCGCGUGAGUGAUGACGGUCUUCGGAUUGUAAAGCUCUGUCUUUAGGGACGAUAAUGACGGUACCUAAGGAGGAAGCCACGGCUAACUACGUGCCAGCCGCAGC